ensembl:lncRNA
GCCACACUGCCUGCUUAACCCCAAAGCCAACCACACCAAUGUGUCAGAGGAAGCAAUCAUAUACCUGGCAUCCAUGUCAGCAUACAUGCACCCAGCCUGCCACAGGAGUUGCUAGAGCACAAUGGGACAAGGACAUCACUGCCAGCCAAACCAUCCACUAAAUCAGACAAUGCUGGGUUAAUUGUGUACCACUCCAUGGGUCUCCCAUUCACAACUGGCUACAACAGAGCCUGGACUCAAACCAGGAUCUCUAGUGGAAGAGUUAGCAACUACAAUGCAGUGCCUUAGACCAAUGCGCCACUCGGGAGGCCUAGAUUGAAAUCUAUAAACACUGAGGUGAAGCCAGGUGUGCAAAACGUCUUAUGUCAUAUUCAUAUACAUCAUAGGAUGAUAUCUUAAUGUUUAUCCUUAAAGGCUGCCAAUCAAAUACAGGAUGGGGGUGGGCAUCUGUAAUUACAAUCAAAGCAAAAAAAUGAUAUUUGGAGAUUGUUCAUAUAGAUAAACAAUAGCUGCCAAAGCAUGUUUUUGAAUGAUCAAAGAAUGGCUUGGCUAGUCACCAAGUCAUCAUCAGAAGUUGGACCUCCUUUUGCUUUUGGGGAGAAUAAAAAGGAGCAGAUCUCUCCCUCAGACUUCAUAUCGUUCUUCAGCAAUCCUUUGAUUCUCUUGUGGUGCUGCACUACUAAAGAAUCCUUCAAGAUGAAAACCUUCAUUCUGAUCGCCUGCAUCCUGGGGACUGCUCUCGGCCGCCCUCAAAGGCUGGUCAUGGAGUUUGACUUCCAGGCUGCCAAUGCUCAGGUAAGAAACACUGCUAGUCUACACCUGUUGUUUACGAUGCAUUUGAUUUGAUACAUAGUUACGUUGCCCAUAUUAGGACAUAUACAUAACUCGAGGGUGUCCUUCCAUGGACAUAUGGACACCAUAACUGAUGUUCUGUGAUGAAAAGGUGUUCAAAUUUAAAGAAUAAUAAUAAUUAUGACAAUUUGAAUGGUUUGGAAAUCACAAGAUGAGGAACAAAGUGCCUGAAAAGGGAAUAGAACACUGAAGAACUGAACUUUCCAUAAUACAAAUGUUUGUUUUCCAAUUAUUUGUAGGCUCUCCAAGCUGGACAAGCCAGACCUAAUCUAGAGAUUGUGGGUGUUUGACAAAAUAAAUAGUUCAAAUUAAUCACAAUACAUUUCCCAUUCUAGAUUGAAGUCAAACUUCUAAGUUUAUUCUAGUAACCAGUGUGUUUUCUAAUUUUACAGAUUCUUCCUGUUGGUGGCGGAGUACCUGUAAGUAACCAUAGCAACAUAGUGAAAUACUGUACAUGUUAGUGCUGUUGAUUUAGUUAUGCUGCACCAGUGAAUCUCACAAUAAUACAGUGAAUGUUCAAUCCAGUCAAUGUCAAAGAUGUUGGGGCGGCAGGUUGUCUGGUGGUUAGAGUCUUGGGCCAGUAAUCUAAAGGUUGCUGGAUCGAGUCCCCGAGCUGACAAGGUAAACAUAUGUUGUUCUGCCCCUGAACAAGGCAGUUAGCCCACUGUUCUCCGGUAUGCUGUCAUUGUAAAGAAGAAUUUGUUCUUAACUGACUUGCCUAGUUAAAUAAAGGUUAAAUGAAAAUGGUUCACUAUCAGAAAUUCAGAAAAUCAUGAUGAAAGUGCGUGUGUGUCAAUCAAUAGUCGGGUGGUGUCCUCAGCCAGGAGGGCGUUGAGAUUAUGAGUGAUCAUCACCCCCAUUAAUGUACGGUACACAGUACAACAAAUGUAUUGUGCGUCUGUUUGAUUGGAUAUAUGACUCAAUCCCUUUCUCUCCUCUCCUCCUGUACCUUCCCUUCAAGAUCCAGGUUGCACCACCUCCGCCUGCUCCUGCUGCACCUGCCAGUGUAAGACCCAAUACCUAUCUGCCUUCAUGUCCGCAACAUACAGUACAUCAGGUGGCAUUUUGAACGUAAUUGAAAGAAGUCCUGCUGAGACUGAGACUGUACUAACAUGGACACCGUACCUACGUUCAUAUAGGUGCUACUGUGAAAGAGUCUCACUCAAUCAUGUUGAAAAAAAAAAAAUAUAUAUAUAUAUAUAUAUAUAGUGUGAUACAGAGGUUGUUGUUGAUCAUGGACUUUGGCUAGUAAGUCCAUGUCAUUUUCAAAUGAAAAAUAUUGAUUUCCAAUAUGUUAUAGUGGGUUACUUUAAAGAUACUGUCAAAAAAGCUGGGAACAGUGUCUUCAACCAUUCAUUUAGCCACUGUGAUGUGAAAUGAAACAACUGUUCAAAUAGGAGUGCUGAUUGAUUAAUUGGCAACCACUGUUAUUGCAGACUCAUACAUCCAAUGAGGAAGACGAUUAGAGAUGUGAGUAAGACCUUUAUAUGACACACACUUGUAUUGCCAUAUUUAAGCUCGUGAAUUGAUGAAUUCCUUAACCGUUCUGUCACAGAGCAAUGUAACAGGCUUGAUAAUGUUGUUUGGUGCUACAGUACCUAUGUUUGAUUGUGGUCAGUUUUUUUUGUAUUACUGUGUAAAAUCUACAGUACAUUCUAAACUCAUAAGACCUACAUUUAUCAUACCUCAUGUGGUUAAAUCUUAGACUCAGAAGUCUGCUGACUUUGCACUUACCUGUAUUUCUGUUUCUCAAUCCUCCAUAUUUUACUAUUUUCAGAUUAUUUUUUAUUUUUUUAACUAGGCAAUUAGUUAAGAACAAAUUCUUAUUUUCAAUGACAGCCUAGGAACACUGGGUUAACUGCCUGUUCAGGGGCAGAAUGACAGAUUUAUACAUGGUCAGCUUGGGGAUUUGAACUUGCAACCUUCUGGUUACUAGCACAACGCACUAACCGCUAGGCCACCCUGCCUCAAAUACUUGGAAAUCUACAAUACCCUUUGAUGAACAACAAUGUCCUUCAACUCCACAGCUGCUUUUAGUGUCCUAGAUUGAUUCAGUAAAUGCAAUGCUUAACCCAGCAAUAAACAUUGCGUAACAUGGUGCUUAACUGAUGGCUUGAUGCAUGAAAGCUGUGUGUAAUUGUUUGUACUUGGCAGAAGAAUGUUAAUAAAACCCCCAGAAUGUUUUGCCAACCUUCUCCAUACCAUGCCUCAAUUUUCUUUCUUGUCCCUGCUUGUUAGUCUGUGGCAUUGAUGAC